rnacentral:rRNA from 1 species
UCAAAUAUAGUGGCGGAGCUAGGUCGUGCUCUAAGCGUAGUAACCAAAUUCUCGCUUCUGAAGCCGGCCCGGGUCCUGCCGUAAAACCCCCUAUAUUUUUCUGGUUGACCUCGGAUCAGGUAGGAAUACCCGCUGAACUUAAGCAUAUCAAUAAGCGGAGGAAAAGAAACCAACAGGGAUUGCCCUAGUAACGGCGAGUGAAGCGGCAACAGCUCAAAUUUGAAAUCUGGCCUUCGGGUCCGAGUUGUAAUUUGCAGAGGAUGCUUUUGGCGCGGUGCCUUCCGAGUUCCCUGGAACGGGACGCCUUAGAGGGUGAGAGCCCCGUACGGUUGGACACCAAGCCUCUGUAAAGCUCCUUCGACGAGUCGAGUAGUUUGGGAAUGCUGCUCUAAAUGGGAGGUAAAUUUCUUCUAAAGCUAAAUACCGGCCAGAGACCGAUAGCGCACAAGUAGAGUGAUCGAAAGAUGAAAAGCACUUUGAAAAGAGGGUUAAAUAGCACGUGAAAUUGUUGAAAGGGAAGCGUUUACGGCCAGACCUUUUCCUGGCGGAUCAUCUGGUGUUCUCACCAGUGCACUUCGCCAGGUUUAGGCCAGCAUCGGCUUCUGUAGGGGGAUAAAAGCAGUGGGAAAGUAGCUCCCUCGGGAGUGUUAUAGCCCUAAGCAUAAUACCC